AAUGAACGCUGGCGGCGCGCCUAAUACAUGCAAGUCGAGCGAGAAGACGUAGCAAUACGUUUGUAAAGCGGCGAACGGGUGAGGAAUACAUGGGUAACCUACCCUCGAGUGGGGAAUAACUAGCCGAAAGGUUAGCUAAUACCGCGUACGCUUCUUGGACUUCGGUUCAGGGAGGAAAGCGAUGCCGAGGGUAUCGCGCUCUUGGAUGGGCUCAUGUCCUAUCAGCUUGUUGGNGAGGUAACGGCUCACCAAGGCUUCGACGGGUAGCUGGUCUGAGAGGACGAUCAGCCACACUGGCACUGCGACACGGGCCAGACUCCUACGGGAGGCAGCAGUAAGGAAUAUUGCGCAAUGGGCGAAAGCCUGACGCAGCGACGCCGCGUGGGGGGAGUGGAAGGUC
rnacentral:rRNA from 1 species